UGUUUUGCGCAGUGGCAGUAUCGUAGCCAAUGAGGUUUAUCCGAGGCGCGAUUAUUGCUAAUUGAAGUAAAUCUUGAGAUCAGUUAGGGUCAGUCCUCCAAUUUUG
rnacentral:snRNA from 1 species